rnacentral:misc_RNA from 1 species
UUAAGUUCAGCGGGUAUCCCUACCCGAUCCGAGGUCAACCUGUAAUGAAUUUUAACGGCACGUCCGGUCGUCUUCGCCAGCGAUUUGAUAAACCACAACGCUGAGAUUCGAACCGUCCAGCCGAUGAAUUGGGGGCGCGGGGGACUCCCGCCGCCCAAUACCAAGCGAGGCUUGAGUGGUGUAAUGACGCUCGAACGGGC